AUUGUCACCAUCCAUCUACCGAUAUUAAACCCAAGGAGAUUGUUAAGCACUGUCAAGCUUUCAUCUUCUCCCUUGUAACCCAUCAUCUACUGCAUUACAAUCCCAGGCUUUCAAUGUGCCCAGAACGGUUUAGCCGGAGUGCGCUUCAGUGCCUUCACUGCCAAAGGAUUGCCCUUGCUCUGCCAAACAAACAACUGUUAAAAACUUCAAUUGAAACAAAUAGAAUGAAAGGAUUGAUGACUUUGGACUCAAGCGUACCAUCAAGCAGGUGCCUUCAUGUAUGUUGCACACAGGGUAGUCAUGAGGGCAGCAGCUGUAGCGAUCUUCGCAGCAAGUGGCAGCCUCGAGUGGGCAGCAUCCCCAAGCAAAGCAGUAGUUAUAGUACUCGUAUAUGCAGCAGCAGGUAUUGCUCUCGGGACAGGAAUAAUAACUAUCGCACACGGUCGGAGGUUUUAUAGGAGAUGGUGGAGACGGUCCGGGAUUGGGGGGAUUUUCACCUGUUUUGAUCGGAUAAGAGGCUUCCAUCGCGAUCCCACAUUUGCCAGUUACGGUAUUGGCCACAUUCCUUGCCAUCCUGAUAUAGCCUGCUUCUCCCCAGCUGCUUCCCCAUGAGUUCUUUACAAUCCAAUAGUCUUUACCUUUCUCUGUGCCAUAUCCAACAGCAGUGACACCGUGGUCUAGUUGUGUUCCACAUUUUCCAUCAAAUAUACCCUGGAAAAAACCGUAAAAAUGUCAUUUAUCGGACAGUGCUCGGACUUUGAUAAUCCAGUUGUGGUCUUGCAGCAACUAGUAAUUUUGAUGGAUGCAGAAUCUUACUGAUUGAUAUAACUGGAAACUCCUUCCUCCUGCCUCAAUGGCAACGCUCACCGGUUGAUUCGCGACUGCCUUUUUCAAUGCUUUCUCGUCAUUUACCGGAACAUCCUCAUAAUCAUUGAUCGAAACAACUUUAGCAUUUUUCUGCAAGGUGAUUAAAAACACCAAGAUUCAGCAAGGAAAUUGAAAUUCUAUCUUUGUUCCUUUCCCAACUCUAAAAAUAAGAAACCUACCCGGUAUGGGUCACAUGUACCGUCAUGAGCGGUGUAAGGGUAAUCUUCUUCGGUGUCAAUGCCACCAUUUUUGAUGAUGAAUUCAAAGGCAUAAUCCAUGAGACCCCCAUUGCAACCUUCAUUGUAAGAUGUAUCACAAUCCACCAACUCCUGCUCAGAUAGUGAAAGGAGUUCGCCUGUAACAAUCUGGUUUAUCCCUUCCACAGCAGCAAUAGUCGAGAAAGCCCAGCAACUCCCUGUAUUUAACAUUAAAUUCUCAGUAAAAUCAUCUUAUUACAAACAUGUAAUAACUAUUUAAUAUAUUAUAUAAAAACAUUGGAAUCUAUCAAUUCAUUAAGCUGUCUAUAUCUUAUGUGGUUCAACUUUUACAGUGGAGUAAGCCCCUGAACUUUCGUGCAAGGAACCUUACUCCUUACCCCACCGAAAGCAGCCACCUCAAGCACUGACACUUCCACUAACUGCAGGGCUGCGAAAGCAUCCUUAUAUCCGACACAAUACUACUAUAGGUCAUAGUUCAUGGGUCGGGUCUAACUUUCCGCGAACCGUUGCAUCUGUUCAAAAUGCUCCCACCCUAUAAAUCCAUCAAAAUUUCGGACAAAAUCGGAUGAUAAAACUGUUCUUCUUAAGUCGAAAAUUAUAUUUAUAUAUUUUAACCCCAUUCACUUAAAAAAUAAGUAAAUAAAUCUAUAUACAUUAAAUCAAAAAAAUAAAUUAAUCUUUUUUGUUAAAUAUUUUAUCCGGUUAAAAACUAAUACGGCUGAAUCAAUAAUAAGACAGUGAGUCACGAAUGAGACCGAGACCAAUUUUUAAGGUAAGAUAUUAAAAUUUCUUUCAACAAAAAUACCAAUUUACUCUAAUCUACUUACUUACUUUUACCUUAUAUAAGACACCUACAUAUAUCCAAUACUCCACCUCAAAAUCUGAAUAACCAAACAGAACCCACACAAGCAAAGGUUUCUAAGAUAAGGACAGAGACAGGAACCUUCCCUGAAACAUCGGAACUAAGUUAUUUGUUUAAUUUUUUUUGUUCUUUCUCUCCAGGUUUUACAGUUGGCUCAAGAUAAUUAGUGUCUAUCUGGCGGCAGAAGACAUGGAUAGAUUCAUUUGACAGAAACAAAACAAAAUCAUCUGAAAAUAUAAGUUAAAAUGCUAGUUUUCAGACAGACAAGAGAAGCAUCCAUAAAAGAAAAUUGAGAGAGAAACUUACCGCAACUUCCUUGAUCUUUGACUUCAGCGACAGCCCCUUUUUCCCUCCAAUCAACGGAAUCGGGCAACUUUUCGCCGAGAAGCGCGGAGUAUCGGUCACUGGCCUUGGAAACUUUCCGGUUGGGUUUCUUGAUUCCCAGGUAGAUGGCUCGGUACUCCUCGUUGGUAAGAUCAGCAAAGCGGUUCAAACCAACCUUAAAACUCUGACUCUCAUCGGCGUUAUGUUCAUCGAUGAACCUAAGGUUAUCCUUAAAAAUCUGGAACCUCCUCUCUUUCUCACCCAAACCGUUGUAUGUUUUUCCAUGCUUUACAAGCCACUCCUCGUACAUGGCCAUAACUUCGUCGUCUGUUCUCCAACCAGACGUUGACUUGUCGGGAUGUGUUUCAUCGUAGGAUAUAAUGGACAUGUCGGAAGCUGAUGAUAAAGUGAACAUCAUCAGCAAAAGCAUCGCCAUAACGAAUCCCUGAGAACCCAUCUUGUCUGAGAAAAAGAAAAAGGAGAAAAGGAAUAGGAUUUUGAAUGUGUGGGGGAGAAGAAAGGCGAGAGACAGUAGGCUUAUAAAGGAAAAAAGAAGAUGAAUAGUAGUAACCCAAUGAGAAACUUGGAAAAAUAAAUUAAUAAAAGUACAGCGGAGAAGCAUGUGGAUGCGAUGUGAUAGGUAGAGCAAAGAGAAAGAGCAGCCCAGCCCACGGAGAUAGGAGCUUUUGUAAUAACAAUGUUUUCUACCUUUUUAGGGGUGAGUGAAUUGGCAUGUUAAACUUGAAAUUGAUUGCCAAACUUUGGGUGAUUUUGGAUUUGCCAUCUAGGUUAUAAACUCCAAACCUUUACCUCAAUCAAUGCCAUUAAUAAGAGUUGUUGUUAUAGCUCAAUCACACUUAUUCUAAAAAAAAAAUUAUAUUUAAAAUAAGUUAUAUUAUUUAAUUUAAAAAAACAAUAUAUAUAAUUAAAUUGAUUUAAUUUUAAAUUGAUCACUUAUCUUUAUUUUUGUAUAUAAUUUUAAUUUCACUAUGCAACUAUGAUAGUGUGAAAGUUUUUUUAGUGUAUAAUAUUUUACUAAAUUUUAUUAUACUCAUAAAAACUAAGGUUAAACAUUAUGUUCAUAAAAAAUUUAAUAAUUGAGUUAUAAAUAAAAUUUUCACAAUAUUUUUAUUUUUAAUUGGUUUAUUUAAAUAUUUAAUAUAAAAAUAACAUUAAUUAUUAUUUUAAAAAAAUAACCCUUAAGUAAUUUUCCUAAUAAUAUUAUCAAUAGAAGUGUUUUCUUUUAGAUAAUAUCUGGAAAAUAGAGGGAAAAAAGGUUUGGUACCCUUGAGAAAAACUUUGAAGACCACAAAAGAUAUUGUUUGAGGGUAAAAAAAGAAAGAUGUAUAAGUGUUUGGAUUGAAUUUGUAAUAUAUAUAUAUAUAUAUAUAUGCAUCAAUAAUUUAGGUGCUGACCUCCCCACAUUUCACUUUCAAUAUUAGAUGAUAGGAUAGGCGCCCCAUUAGCUGAGUCAUUCACGCCUUCUCUCUUUCUUCAUCUAUUAAACUACUUCCAUCAAAAUAUCUUUUACGAAACAUUAGAUUUUUUUUAUAUAUCGCUACUAAUUAAUAAUUUUUUAUAAUUUCUGGGUAUUUGAAAAGUAAAAUAAUAUGGUGACAUUGACCCCAAAAGUGAUAUGGGCCAUAGGAUGUUGUUGUCCCCAUCUAAUUGAUUAGGACGGAGACAAGCAACUUAAAUUUGGAAAUAUAUUCAUUCAUUCAAGACAUUAUCAAAGAAUCCAACCAAUUUGCUUAUUAUCAUAUCAAUGAUUUCCUUAAAUUAUGCCUAUAUAAAUAUUCAUUAAAUUAUUUUUGCCAUCCAACUAUCAAAUGUUAUAAUAUAGUCAUCCACGUUGUUACUGAACUCAUUCAUUUAAUCUUUAAAUUGCACGUCAGAUCUUAUAUUGUAUAAUUUAAAAUGAAAAUUUAAAAGAAAAAUUGAUGUUGUAAAAGUGGAUGUUAUAAAAUAUCAAUUAUGAGGUUUUCGAAGUUUUUUACAAAAGUUUUAUCUUUCACUCUUUUUUUUUUCAGUUUUAACCUCUCUCUUUUUUUAAUUUUUACUUUUAAAAGUGUUGAAAAAUAUGAAACUGACAAUUUGGUGCUAGAAUGAGUGCCUACUCUCCUAACCACCAAAUUUAUAUAGAUAUAAAUUUCAUAUUUAAAGUGUUGGCAUUUUAUUAAACAAAUAUUUUGGGCUAUGUUGAUUAUAAGGUUGAUAUUUAACCCAUUUUAAAAGAUCAUAUUACCUGAGAAUCUUAUAUUGGUGAUUGAAUUGAUUCGAAAUUACCCAAAACAAUCCCUUGGAUUAUGAUUCUGGUUGUUGAGCUACUAAGAGUCUAUUUUUACAGUUUUUGUUAUUAUUAUAAUGUAUUAAACUUAUUUUAUUGUUGUUUUAGUGGGAUUGGGAUAAAUCUUCAUAUGUAAGCAAGUCUCGAAACAAAGUAUAGCUAUUUUUCUUUCUCCAAUUUCGGCAAAGGACCAAGAAGAAACACGAUAGCAUUGUUUUCUCAUUUGUUUAUGUUUAAUUGACUAUUUACCUAAUUGCUCUUAAUUAAAAUCAUGCAAAGCUCAAUAUUUACAACCCAUAACCAUCCAAAUUAAUUUGUUAUGGUCUAAUUACAACAUAAAUCCUCCUACUUUAAAUAUUUAGGCCAUUAUGUUAAGAAAAUUAAUAUUAAGCAACCUUUUCAUCUUUUACGAUUUAGUCCUUUUAAAUUAAUUAACUAUUUAAACGAUGAAAUUUCUUAACCAAAUUUUAAUACGACCAUAAUGACCUUGUAAAUAUUUAAAUAUUUAAUAUUUAAAAACUGACACACCGAAUUUAUGGUCUCGAAACCAUUGUUCUGACACCACUAAAAAAAGGGCUAUUACAUGGACGAAGCAAAAUGUAGCAAGGGAAAGGUGGACAAAAACAUUUCUUUUCAAGUAACGAGGGAAUGCUCACUUCCCAGAAUGCUACCAUAAAGGACCUUUAGGAGCAAAUAGCCUUUACUCAUUCAGAAUUUCAAUAAGGCUUUCAAAAAACAAGAAAGGAGAAUUAAAAAGUUUAAAGUUAGUGCUAAUGCUCCCAAGAACAACUCAAAGGGAAUUGUGAUUAAAGAGGAACCCAAGAAGGAUAAGAAGAAAGGUGUGCAAUGUUAUGAAUGUCAAGUUUGUGGUCUUAUCCAAUUAGAAUGUACCAAUACAUGACUUGUGUAUGGCAUAACUUUACUAGCAACAGUGUAAUUUAUAGCUCAAUGAAAGAGUUAACGAUAUCCUCUCAUUGGCAUUGUGUGGAUUGAUAAAUAUAGAACAUUGUCAUGGGUUGCUUGUUCUCGAACGAGCAAUUUAUCACAUUCAUUUGUUUACAAUGAUCAUAUUAAUCAUUAAGAAGACACAAUUAUGACAAUGAGAUAAAAUAGGAUUGUAUUGAGUGAAAGGAUUUAACUCAAAGGAAUCAAGGAUAUCAUAUGAGGGUAACACACACAUGACGAGGUCAUUGGACAAAGCAGUUGGAUGAAUUUCUUUCGUAAAGUAUAUACAAUGAUGAGUUUUCAAUCAUGGUACUUCUUGUGGACUGACUCUAUGAUUAAGUAAUUACGAAUUAUUGGAACGAUGCUUCUAGGCAUAAUUGCAAUUACUAGAGCCUAAUUGUAUAUGUCCGAUUUGUCCCUCUGCUAGCUCAACAAAAGCUUGAUCGGAUUGCAUUUGAAUAAAAAGAAAAUUCUAUAACUUUGGAAAUAAUUUAAUUGAGUUGGUUUAUUCGAUGUGAAAUUAAAUUGGGCAGGUCUAAGAAUUGUUCAACCUAGUGACAUUGAUUAAAGAAUUUUCUUGAAAAAUUAAUUUGGAAAAUCUAAGUGAUUUUUGGGAAAAUUUAAUUUUGAUAAAGUAAAAUUACAUUAGUCAAAUUAAUUGAAAUUAAUAUGAUAUUUUUAAAAAUUAAUUUUCAAGUCAGAUAAUUGACCCAAUAGGUAAUUGAACUUGAAAAUUAGACCUGAGAUCGUAAAUUGGGCAAGAGCCCAAAACCGAGACCAAGACCCAAAAAUUGGUCGAAUCGAGCCUUGUAUGUGAAACUGAGCCGACGGUCCAAUCGGUGGGUGGACCGAACCAAUCAGGCCAUCACUAGCCCGAACUGAAUCACCAGAAACUUAACUAGCUCAGGGUACCGACAGUUGCAACGACGACAUUACGAUGGCUGGCAAAUGGUGGUGGUUCUUUGGUGGUUGAGCAGUGGAAUAAUUACACUCCUAUUGGGACUUUACCAGAGAAUUCGAUUUCAGAUUAACUAUUUCAAAAAUAAUAUUAUUUUAAUAGAUUUAAUAUUAAAUUAAAUUUAAUACUUCUCUUAAUAGUAUUUUAUUAAUUUAAUAUUAAAGUGAUUAUCUUAAUAUUAAAUUUAAUGUUUAUCUUGUAGAUAAAUUUAAUAAGAUUUAAUAUUAAAUUUAAUCUAAUAUUUAUCUUGAUAAAUUUAUAUUAAUUUAAUAUUAAAGUGAUUAAGUUUAAUUAUAGUUGAACUCUCUAAACUCUCCCUAUAUAGAGAGAGUAUUGAGUCAUUAUUUACACAUACUUGAAUUCAAAAGAAAGUUGUAGGGAGAAAAUUCUCUGAAGAAAUUAUUUUAGAAAAUUUUUAGAGAUAUUUUUCUUAUUUACAACUUGGCCCAAAAGUUUAGAGAAAUUGCAAAAUUACCCAUACUGGUAAUUCUUGUGAAUUUUUUUAUUCAAAGCGAGCCCACACUCAUCAAACGUGAGCUUGAGGAUAGCGGAGAAGACUACUUGAUUGAAGCGUCCAUCCUAGAUGAAUCGAAAAUGUACAAUUUUGAUUAAGUGUUUAUUACUUUAGAUAUCACAACCAAGUUUUGGUUUUGGAAAAAUAUUUUAAAACUCUGGUUUUUCCUAAAUUCAUUUUUCGCUGCGUUUUCCAAACUCAAUUUUCCAACAACCUUAUGUAUGCAUAAUGACACAACUCGAACUGCUACCUUGGCACAAUCCUGGCUUGGUCCCUCCUGGCGUACCCACUUUUAAAGCAGAACUUGAAACAUAAACAAACAAUUAUAAGUUUAAAUGAACUUAGUGAGUUUUAACCCAGAUUACCUUGAAGCAUUUGUUGUUUAAUUCCUCAUCUUGAAGAUUCUAGAUUUCCUUUUUUUUUGUGGAUACUUUUUUAUUAUCGAGCGUAUACAUAUACUCCAACUUCUAUACUUAACCAUCCUAAACACAGUUCACUCAUUGAGCAGAUUCCAAACUUCACCACUCAAUACAAAUCCCAUUCCUUUUUGGAAAACAAAUACACUUCUCAGAAAGAUAUUCAUACGGAACCUACCUUUGACAAAUCCUCACUCUGUUAGAUGUUGAAUACCUACCUCAGAAUGGGGUACUCAUAGAUACUAUUAAGAUGUUGAAUACCUACCUCAGAAUGGGGUACUCAUAGAUACUAUUAUUGGCGGAUACUUAUACUAACUAAUCUUUUAAGAUGAACUUCAUACAUAUCCUACUUUUGGCAGAUUCUCAUACUAAAAUGACAGUGAUCAUAUUACCAGUCAGAUCAUGUCUUAAAUCAACUUAGAUCACAACUUAUUCUGAUGGAUGAAAUCUUUUAAGUCAUCCUUUGGAAUCCCAGACAACCAUGUUACAUAUCAUGAGAACGCUCUGAUUUGAUAGACAACUUAUACUUCAGAUAACCCUUUUAUAUAAAGCGUGAAACACUCAAAUUUGGUUGAUAUUAGAUAAUUCAGAUUGCUUCCUUACAUAACAUAAAUAUAUUCAGAUAUAAAAAACUCUUAGACUACUCAUAAUUACGAAUACGCCAAAUUACUUGUACUCACAGACUACUAUGGAGGAUUCACCCUUCAAAAACACUAUUGAGAACUCUUUCAGGAAAUGUCUUUAAUUUAUAUUCGACUUCAUCACAAGGCUAUCCAAAAAGAGAUGUUUUCAAACUUAUUCAUAUUUAUACCACAGAGUUAUCUAGUGAAGAAGUCUCUAAACUUACCCUGAUUUCACCACAAAAGCGGCUAUCUAGAUCUCGCCUCAAGGGCGUUACUAAUACGCCACACAGGCAUCACAGAAUAUUCCACAAAGACUUUACAGAAUAUGCCACAUAGGCUUUAUCGAAUAUGCCACAAAGGCUUUAUAGAAAAUUACGUGUUUACUGUCCCAACAGACCAUUUUAAAGGGUGCCAUGGAUUUCUCCCACAUGGUUUUGUACAUAUUUUCAUGUCAUGUUCUGCCAAUCCAUUGUACAUCUUACCGAAGGUAAUUGUAUUCUCAUUGUCAUAUGAUGCCAUGGGUCUCUACCAUAUGGUCUUACACAUAUUUACAUAUUGUGAUCUGUCAGUUAGGUUAGGAAUGUACCUGCCCUACCGGAAGCAUCACAAAUAGUGUGUUACUUGUUUAACACAGAACACACUUACCUAGAUUCAUUCACACUCCUGACAAAUUCAUAUUGUUCCAUACUUGAUUUCAUAUGCAUGUAUAUCACACAUCAUCUUAUUCAUGCAGUAAGUCAUAUAUCUUAUUUGUAGACAUAUAACAAAUUUACAAUACUUUACACACACAUACACUCACUAGUUAUCCGAGAUGACAUUAACAUACGAAAUUUCAUUGUAAACUAACAUACGUAAGUUAGAAUAUAUACUCAUUUGAAACUCACAUUUAUUGUAGCUCGAAGUUCCAAAUCCGAUCAUCCUUUCUGAACCAGCAGUAACAACAAGGGGUUGAAAGAUCCACUGAUUAACCCAAAAAUCGUAACUUCCAAGUUAACAAAGAAGAAAAUAAUGUUUAAGUUUAAGAAGAAAAACCAGAAGGUGGAACAGAAAAAAGAAAAACCAUGUCCCUAUUCUCUUCUUACAAUAUAUAUACUUAGUUCCUCUUUGUGGAUCUUGACAAGUGUCGAAUGUAUACAGAAAUUGUCCUUUAAAUAACCUACAAUAACCAAAAUAAAUAUAAAAAAGAAUCCAAUGGAAAUUUUGUUUGACCAAUUAAUCCAUUCGUUGACUCUCAACCAAUCACAUUACAGAACCUACCUUACAUAGUAUUUAAGCAAACCAGACGUGCCAUACCUUUGGCGAUUACUCUCAUAAGGCGUGUUUUUCAUUUGUCUCAUUCCUUCAAUUGAAGAAUACCCCGUGAUGAAAUCCUUAGAUACUUCCACAAGGGGAUACUUUAUGUGCCAAACUUUAAUUUGCCAGAAGCCUGUAAAAUGGUGGACUAUGCUACCAUAACACGCCAAAGCAGGUAACUUUCAAAUCUAUACACCUUCUUGAGUCUAUAAAAUUUAGGGUGUGACAUGAAAUAUGAGAAUGCUACUUUGGCCAAAUAUGUGGCUACUAAAGAAACACUUCUUGUAGAAGAAUUAUUCAACAUGGCUAAAAUAAUAUAAGAAUUUGUUAAAUCCAAGCUUAUGCUUAAAAAGUUCUCUGUCAGUAGAAAUAAGCUUUAGGGUUUGUAAUUAACUUCGGAUUAGGAUUUUAGGAUGGAUUAAGUACUGAUUAACCAAUUAUUACCUCUCAGCAUCUAAUUAACUAAUCGAUUGGUUGAUACUCGCUUAUCUCUCAACCUCGCUUAUCUCUCGACCUCAUUUAGCCUAUGAUAACUUCCUAGGUUUGUCAGUCAAAGUUUAAGAACACGUAAUCUAUAUGAAUUAACGCUCUUGGGAAAACCCUAAAUCCUUCGUUGAUCAUAUCCCCAUCCACUUGUUAAUCUUCUCUAAGGGAUUUAGUCACUCAUGUUAUUCAUAAUCUCGACUCCAAUUGAAUAAAUCAUAUGAAUAACACAAUUGAUUUGGAAGAGAAACAAGAUUUGAAUAAUCGUGUAUUUGAUAUCAAAUGAAGAAUAGAGUAGCAAAUCGAUUUAUUGAAAUAAAGAAAUAAAUCGAAUGUAAAGAAAAGAUAAAUUGCAAUACUUCAACAAAAUAAAUAAACUCAUGGAUCGAAACCGAAUCCAAGAGGAAAAAUAACUAGUUUAUGAAAAGUUGAAAGAAAAUUGAUCUAGUCCUACUUCUAAACUACUAUGGUUUUUUAGUGCGUCUAGGAUGACUUAGUUACACCAAACCCCUAAUAUCCUAUGUAUAGAAGUGUUGGCAGCCCAACUUAGGUUUUCAGCAUGUCCUAGGUCUUCGUAUAAGGUUGAUUGCGCAAACGAAAAUAGCCUCGAUAUUUUUGGGCAUCAUGUUAACCUAUGUCACACUACACAAUGUCUAUGGCGUGACAUGACAUGCAAAUUUUGCCUUCUUGGUUCAAUUUCAUGCUUUGAUGGCUCGGGAAACUUAUGUAUCGCUCGUCUUUUGCUUCCAAGCUAAUUGGGUCUUUAAUUCUUCAUCUUACACACUCAAUUAAACAUAUUAGCAAUACCUAAGGCCCGUGUCAGCUUGAUGGGUCACAACACUUAUAAAAUGUGUUAAAAAUAUUUAUUUUACUAAUAUUUAAUCCUAAGGCCUAAGUACCGAAAAUGUAAUAUAAAAUGCUAUAUUGCUUAGAAAACAAGCUCCUUAAGUUUGAAAUUGACUUGAAUUAACUACUAUAUUUAACAGUAGGUCACUAACAUUAGCUUCAGAGAAUUCGUAACAAAUGCAUGAUCUCAAGCCCUUGAAUUACCCUUGAUCACAAAACCCAUUUGUUCAUACAAGAUGACAUAUUUGGGUUGCUAACACUAGCUUCAGAUCAAGAUUGCUAACACUAGCUUAGUUCGAUGCUGCUAACAUUAGCUUUAGAGAAUCCGCAACAAUUUUUGAAUUUCAAGCUAUCCAAUUACCCUUGAUCACAAAACACGUUUUCCUUUUUGGAAAUAUGAUGACAUGCCAUUUGCAUCUCAGUUGUUUACUAAAUCCACAUGGCCUAUUAUUGAAUUCGUGUCAUUUCAAUCUCUGUAAUUGUGUACACAUUUUCACAUUCCAAAUAGCAUUUCAUAUACAAUUUGAAUUAUAUAACAUCAUCUUGUACUCAAUAUCCAGUUGUAUAACCAUUUCCAAUUCAUUCUAUACUGCAUAUCUAUUUGUAUUUAUCACAAAUCUCAAAUUUUUUGAUUUAGCCCUUUAGAUGUCAUAAGUCAUUAAAAUUUUACAUGUAUAUAAUUUAAUAAAUAUAACCAUACAAUUCAAACAUAAUAUAAAACAACAUAGUAAUUUAUAUAUGAACUUACUUGAGAAAACAACAACCAACAAGCUGUCAAUGACUAAUUCAUAAUUUCUUUUUUUCUUUAAUUAUCUACCAAUUGAUUUAAAUCCCAAUCUAUAAUGAUUCAUUACAAUUUAUCAAUUCCAAUAGUCUGGCAUCAUCCUACAAUAGGUAUAAUUCAGUUCAAUUUCACUUUUUAAAAGUUCCCUACAACUGAAAUUAUCAUAACUUAACAAUUUAGUCAUUUUUUCAUUUUUAAGUUUAAAAGCUAACAUUUAAACACCAAAAGCUUCAAAAAUCAUCAAUGGAAACUUUUAUAGACUUUAACAGUUUUGAAAACAAAUAUAUGAGUUAGUUAAAUCGAGUUACAACGAUCUGAAAAACAUAACCAUUACAAGAAACGAGCUAGAUUAAGCAUACCAGGCAAUAAGUUAAAGUUGGAAGCCCUUGACAAGUUCUUCUCCAAGGUUUGGCUAUGGUGCUUCGGUGGUGAAGAUGAAAGAAAAUAAAAUACUUUUCAUUCUCUCCAUUUUCUACUUAUUUUAUUAUACCUAAUAUACAUUAUAAUAUAUUUAACUUAAUUUUAACCUUUAUAAAAUAAAAAAUCCUUCACCAACCAUUCAUACAAGUUCCUAAAAUGGUCUACAUGCCAUAUCAGGCCUUGUUUAUAUACCUUAUGAGUCCUUAUACAAUUAAAAGUUCAUAGCAAUUAACUUUUAUAACUUAUACAAUUUAGUCAUUAUAUCUUAACUAACUGAUUAAUAAAAUUACCGGACUAGAAAUCAAUAUAACUCUACAAUAGACUCGUAUACAUUAAUAAAUAAUAUUUUGAAACUACAGCUUCUGGUACUAUUGAAAAAUUGGCUAUUACAGUAAUCUUGUUUUCUCAUUGUGUAUAAGCCUAAGCCAUUCAUGAUUUGCUUUCCCCUUGGACCAAUAGGUACCCUUGUAGUUGGUGGUGGUGCUGCUGAGAUUUAUGAUGGAGGACCUUGGAAUGUUGCAUCUUGAGCUAUCUUACUUCUAGUGGAUAGGCAAGAAUUGAAUUAGGCUUAAUUGUUAAGUCCUAAGCUUUCCCUCUUUGGGUCCCAAGUUCGAGCUACCUACCUCCCAUUUCUUUUCCUUUUAUUUUUAGCAACCUAGGGUAAAAGUUACAUCUAAAAUAUAUACGAUUAGGAAUAAAAAUUAAACAAAAACUAGACUUUAGGCGUAAUGGUUAAAAUGCUAAGUUUCCCUUUCUAGUGAAUGGAGUUUGAGCCACUCUAGGAGUGUGCAAAUUUCGGGGAAAAUUGAAUUAAUUUGGGUUAAACAGUCAGUUAAUCGAAUUAAUUUGGUCAGGGAUCAGUUAAUAAUUUUUUGGAAGUUCGAUUAACAAUUAAUGUGGCUCGAAAUCUAUCGGUUAACUGAAUUAACCGAACUUAAUAAAUAAUAUUAUAAUAUAUAAGUAUUCGAUCGCGGUCGGUCGGUUCGGUUAAUUUUUUAAAAGUAUAAAUUAAUUGGUCGGUUAAUUUGGUUAAUUUUUUUAUAUGCUUUAUACUUGUUUUAGCCAAAAAAAAUUUAGUUAAUUCAGUUAACUGACCGAAUUAACCGAAAAAGUUUGGUUCGGUUAAUUUUUUUGAAAAAAUUUCAGUUCGAUUAAUUUUUUUAAAUAAAUUUCGUUUCGAUUAAUAGUUAAGGGUUUAAAAGGAUCGGUUAAUUCGAUUAGUGGUAGUUCAGGUAUGUUAACCGAUUAAACACCCUUAAGCCACUCUCCUCCCUUCUAUUCCUUUUAUUUUUGGAAGAAAUGGAUAAAUUGCCAUGAAGCCUCCUAGGGUUUGAAAACCCUAGGUACUUAGUUAAUCUUUUCACAAUUAGACUAGGCAUAUUGCUUUAUUCUCAAUUCUUAUUAGGAUUUAUCCUUAUUUUCUCUAUUUAUUCUCCUUUUUCUUUUUCUUUUUUCACUCUUAUUUUCAUCAUAUUUUUCAUCUUUUUGUCGCUAAAUAUUUUCUUUUCCCAGAUUAAAAUAUUAUCUAUUCAACCAAUUUUCUACUGGUUUCAUAAUUAUCGUCAAUAGUAUCUCGAUCUUUGCCAAGAAAUGAUAAGUACAUCUUGUUCCGAAGUUUAGAUUCUAAAUUUUCGUAGUAUAUCUAUUUGACACUAAUCUUGCGUUCGAUAAAACAAUAUUUUAACGGUUCGUGUAAAAUCUUUUGUUAAGCUUGAAAAAUAUUGAAAUCAAUCGUUAACUCGUGUAUAAAUUCAUUGAAUGACUAGAUUUAGGAAAAUUAGAUCAGAUUUGAUCGUAAGGAACUUCAAUCAGACUCCCAAUGAAAGGUGUGUGUUCUUUACCAAGUGAAUCAAGGCAAACUAUGUGUAACGUUAGGGUACUUUGAUUUUCAAACGGCCAAGAACCUUUCACACAACCUGCCACAAGGUCAUGUCUCUUCUAUAGGGUAACUUUUAUGUUUGCUACACAACCACAGUCUCUUACACGAUCGUGUAACCCUUCCACACACCCUAUAACUUCUCACACGGCCUGGCCACAUAGCCGUGUGUCCCCUAUUUUACAGUAUUACCCAGAAUUUUAUGAAUUGUUAAUUUAGUUCCUGUAUAACCCCUGAAUUAUUUCUAAAAUUCUCAUUCACUCGAUUAAGUACCUGAUAUUAUAAACAUGCCAGAAUUUGUAAGUUGAUGAUUGAGUUGCUAUUGUAUAAUGAUGAUAUGUGAAAAUUACAUGUUUACUGUCAUUGUUUCUUUGAUAAAUUGAUACUAUUAUUCUUACCACUGUAUUAUCGAUUGCAUGUUUAGCAUGCCUACUAUUACAUUUGAACCGAAUAUAUGUGAAGCAUGUCUACUACUACUAUUGAACUGAAUACAUGUUAAGCAUGUCAUACCGCAUUGCAUAAGGUGGAACGAUUCUACGGAGGAAGAACUGGCAAUUUAAUAAUCUGCAACAUUGGUGGUUCAUCUACAAAUUACUGGUAACUUUUAUCUGAAAAUAUGUGCAUCCAUAACAAGUGGCAAUUUAUUUGCAGAUGUCUUUAUCUAAAAAUAUUGGUGGUUCAUCCAUAAUUUUUACUAUUGUCAGUUUAUCUGCAAAUAUUAACGGUUCAUCCACAAAAUAGAGUGUAUUGGUUGGAAGAGUUUCGGGGAAAUCUUACUAUGGAGUGUAACAGAGUAUGGGUAGGAUCUUUUUUGUUAUUCUUGCAUCGCAUUGACAUUCAUAUACAUGCUCAAAAUAAAUGAUGGUUUAUGCUUUGCUAUAUGAUUGUGUUUGUUCUAAAAACGGUUUGUUAUAUGCAUGGUUACUAUUUUGCACUAGAUUAUUUGUGAUAGGACUCACAUUGAGCUUCUUAAGCUCACUCCCCUUUAAUUUUCAUCUUUAUAGAAAACCCAUCUGGUUAGUUUGCGAACACAGUAUUUGGAGGGUCUUGGCUUGAAACCGUUUUUAUAAAGUAUUUUAAUGAAAAUUUUUGUUAUUCAGAAACUAUAUUAUUUUAUUUUUUAAUUGUAGCAUGAUACUUUGGUUUUGGGUUUAUAUAGCAUGCAUUGCAUUUAAUUUGAAUUUAGGAUAUUGAAACAUAGAUUUAUAAUAAAUUAUGUAUAAAAUAAUUCUGAUUUUUCUUAAUUGAAACUAAGUUGAAUAUCACUUUUUCGCUGCGAGAUUUUAAAUAAAUUUUGAUUAGUAAAUAAAUUAGAAAUUAAUUAAGUUUUCAAAAGCAAUCACCGUUACAAGAAAAAUGGUAAACUUAAUUAGUUUUUGUUAACACGUGAGUUUUUCUGGAAAUAGGCUAAGUUUUCUUCUAAGAUAAAUAAAAUUUUUAAAAUGACUAUUUUAUAAACGUCAUUAAAUUAUUGGGAUAUUUCGUUGGCCAAUGUAAUCUUCUGAAUUCGGGCCUAACAUAUAGGCCAAGUUGGAAGAUUACAUCUAAUCCCAGAACUAAGCCCACCAAACAAUUGUUUUGGAGAUUCCAUAGCUUGGGUUAUACUAGCAUAAUGACAGAAUCACCUAAGAUACAUAGGGAGUUAUAAAUCUUGUGAUUAUAUAUUUCAUUCCUAGAAAUAUAAUACUUCUAUUCCUUGUGUAGAAUCUUGCUAAGUUCAUCUGAACUUACUAUUGUACUACAUUAGAUACAGAAGAAAAAUUAUCAAAGUCGUAGUGGAAGAGACCAAGGCAGACUUCGCACACAUUGCGCUAAGUUUGUAACAACUGUAACAUGGGCUACGUUUCGACCUCAAGAUACAGGUUGCUUCACACCAAGAAUGAGUGUUUGAGACCCUAGUGGAGAAAAUAAAAAUUGUGGAGGAGAUCAAACAAGUGGAACACGAAAAAUAAGAUAAGAGUAAGGUCUCGAUUAAGAGAAAUUUUUGUUCCACUAGUUUGAAUUCUCGUCCUCACAAAUGGGCCAAAGAGGGCAGACCGCAUCAACGGUUGUUAUGUCUAACUCAUGGUAUAGGACUCCCAACUAUUCAUACUAUGAUAAGCGCCAUGUGAGCGAGAGCUAGAAAAUGUUAGGUGCUUGCCUAAGGUAUGGGUCGGUAGAGCAUUUGGUAAAAGAUUGUCCUCGUUGAAACGAGAAAGUGCAAGCUCUGGGCCAAAAUCAGACACAAAAUCAGAGAGCAGGUCAAUUACCUCCAAGGGGUCGAGGUUAAAAUAGGGUCGCAAAUACCAUAGCAACUGGUGCAAACCAAACUAAGGCUAGAUAACCUACCCUUAUUUAUGCUGUUAGAGGUCGUGAUGAUAAAGAUGCGUUCGAUGUCAUCCCAAGUAUUUUUACCAUUUAUUUUGUCUCAUAUUUCGCCUUAAUAGACAUAGGAUCUAUCCAUUCAUAUGUUGCUUGUAAUAUGAUUGAUAAGUUAGGUUUCAUAGUAGAGGAAUCCACGACUGAUAUUACCGUAGUAAGCCCUUGAGGACAAUCGAUUGUUGUGAGUAUGAUCUAUAAGAGAUGUCCAUUAGAGGUUCAAGGUGUAGUAUUUCAGUGUAUCUUAUAGAAUUGCCUUUUGGGGAGUUUGAUUUAAUUAUAGGAAUGGAUUGAUUAGUAGAACACCAAGUUAGCCUAGUUUGUGCAUCUAAGAGAGUAACCUUGAAAACAAUUGAGUGUAGUGAGAUUGUUAUGGUUGAAGAGUGACAAAACUAUUUAUCCAAUGUAAUCUCUACUAUGGCUGUUGAAAAAUUAGUUUAGAAAGGGUGUAAGGCUUAUCUAGCUUAUGUGAUGGAUGUGAAUGUGAAUAGCUCUAUCAUAGAUGGUAUCCGAAUAGUUAGGAAUUGUUAGAUGUCUUUCCUAAGAAACUACCAGGGUUACCUUUAAAUCGUGAGGUAGAAUUCAAAAUUUAGUUGUUGAAAGAGACUGUUUCAGUGUCCAUUUCUCCCUACCGCAUGGCACCGAAAGAGCUUCAAGAAUUGAAAGUCCAACUUCAGUAGCUUUUGGAUCAUAGGUUUAUUAAACCCAAUGCUUCUCUAUAGGGAGCCCCAAUCUUGUUUGUGAAGAAGAAAUAUGGCUCCCUAAGGUUGUGCAUUGAUUAUCGAUAGUUGAAUAAACUGAUCAUUAAGAACAAAUAUCCUUUGCCUAGGAUCGACAACUUAUUUGAUCAAUUUCUUGAUGAAACAGUGUUUUCCAAAAUAGAUUUAAGGUCCAAUUACUAUUAACUAAAGGUGAAAGAGGCGAAUAUGCCUAAAAUCGCAUUUAGGACUCGGUAUAGACAUUUGGAAACAACCCAAAAAUGUUUUUGAAAUCCACAAAAAGGAAGUUAUGUUUUUCGGUCACGUGGUAUCCGCAAAGGGUAUCCAUGUAGAUCCGAAAAAUAUAGAGGAGAUUCAAAAAUAGAAACAACCCAAAAUUGUUUUUGAAAUUCGAAGUUUCCUUGGUUUAGCCGGGUAUUAUCGUGGAUUUGUUAAAGGGUUUUCUCUGAUUGCCGCUCCACUAACUAAGUUUGUCACGCACCAUAUUUUAUUUAUUUUAUUCCAUUAGUUUAUGACAUAAGAAAUUAAAUGUCCUGAUGGUUAAGUUAGUGAAUUAUUUCCAAAAGGUCUCAUGUUCAAGCCCACACACUCCCAUAUUUUUUAUUUAGUUUUUGAUAAUUUCCAUCCACCUCACUUGCCUUGUGGGCAAGGAUUCCUUUCCUUUUCUUUCUAGUUAACUUACCUCACUUACCUUGUGGGAAAGAAAUCGUAUUCUUUCACUCCCAUGAUCCAUUCUUAGUGCCUUUGUCCCUAUAUUUCCUUUUUCCCUCUCUUACCAUACCUUGUUCUACCAUGCACCUAGACACUUUUAUUUUUAUUUUUUUCUCAUCUUUUCUCUCCUCCUCUCCCUUUAGUCUCUCAUCCUCAUUGCUCCUCCCUUUGAUCUUAUUUUAUUUUGUUUUCACCAUCCAUUCUCCUCAUUUCUCCUCCAUUCCACCACAUCUAAAGGCCACCAAACCACCACCUCACUGUUGACCAUUCCUAAAUUCUCUGAUUCUUCUUCUUUUCUCCUCCUCUUCUCGUACAUGAUUUCUUUAAUCCUUAAAUUUUGAUAUUUUGUUCAGAAAAAGGAGUAUAUCACAUUCUAUUUCUAUUUUUUUAUAUUGUGUUAUUUUCUAUCUAGUUGCGAAUCCUCCUUUCUAAUCAACUCUCCGUGGGAAGUUGUAAAGUAUCUAUUCCUUUAAUAUUAUGUAAGUUUGGACGAUCCUCUAUCUAUAAUAUUCUUUCAUUUAUUUAUAUAUAUAUAUCUAUUUGAUAAGGACAAUACUAAUCAUUCGGUUUAUUGGAUAUUAUGAAUUGCUAUUCAAGAAUCUCAGAACCGUACCUCCACUUUUGGAAGUGUGCGAUUGUACAUCGAUUAUGUAAGUAUUUCACCAAAUCACAAAUCAAGGGUUAUUCAUUAAAAUAACUUGUUCUAAUAUGGUAUGAAUUAUUUAUAUGUACGGAUUUAAGAUUUGAUCUCUUCCUUUAGAAGUUAGAACUAAAGACGUUAUCAGAUUUGCAAAAUCAGGUGUGGGAUUUUCUUUGAUAAAAUAUAUGAUAUUAUUUUUAUUCAAGAUAAAUAUAUAUGUGAAAGAAUUAAAUAAUUGUUCAAUAGAAUUUAUGAAAAAGGAAAAUGAGAGAAUACGCUAAGUAUUCAUAUGGAUUGAUAAAAUCUGAUAAAAAGAGGGAUUCCAAGUAAGUGAUUCUAAAACUUAAGAUUUGUGAUGUUUGUAUGUAAUUAUGUGAUUUUUCUGAUAAACGUGAUAUUGUAUGUUUUCCUAAUACUUAUGAUAUGUGAUAUAUGGUGAUAUUGAUUAUACAUGUAUUAUAAACAUGACAUUGAUUUAUUGAUAUUAUGUUUCGGAUAUUGAGCAUGCUAUUAUUCUGAUUAUGAUUCGCAUGUUAAGCAUGCCAUUAUUUUGAUUUUGAUUCGUAUGUUAAACAUGCCACUGUGAUAAACUGUAAUAAGAUCUGAUUCGCAUAUAAAGCAUACCUACUGAAAUUCUGUUUUGUAUGCCAUAUCACAUGCAUGGGUUGGGAUAAUGUUGUAUGGAGGAAGAUUCUAGCAGUUUAGUAAUUUGCAAUUUUUGGUGGCUUGACCACAAUAUUCUGUAUCUAGUAGUAUAACUACAUUAUCUGGUGGUUUGACCAUAAUAUUUUGUUUUUGGCAUCUCGAUUACAAUAUCUGGUGGCCUGUCCACAUUAUUGGUGUGUUAUUGGAUGGACGAGUUCUGGGGAGCUCAUUAUGGUGUGUAGUAGAGAUGGAUAGGAACUGUUUUCUGAAAAAAUCUAUAAAUGUUUCUGCAAAAGUAUUGCAUUGACAUCGUCAUUAUGCAUUAUGAUAAAUAUGAUUCUGUGGUUGUAUAUUUAUGUGUAUAUAUGAUCUGUUAAAUUGAUGAUGUUUUGUAUUAAUUUUUGUUUAUAUGAUUUGUAACCAUAUUAGGCUUUAAAAAGUUCACCUCUUUAAGUUUUAGUCUUUCCAGAUAAUAAUCGAGGUUAGGAUGGGCUCAACUUGCAGAGGUGCACUUAGAAAUUUUAAGUAAAACUAUUAUAUUUUGGAUCUUGAUAUUUUGGGAUUUGCUUUCAUUUCUGUGGAUUGUAGCUUGGGACUUUGUUUUGGAUUUUAGUUUUUGGAUUGCUUUUGCAUGAUUUGAAAAUUUUAAACUAUAACUUAAGACGAAUUAUAAAAUUGAUGAGUAAAACUGGAUUUUUCGUAAUAAUGCCAAACUCAACUCAAUGAUUGUAUUUUCAAACUCAAUACUUCGUUUUCGGAACUCAACACUAGCUAUUCAUUAAACUGCGAUUUUACAAGAUAUAUUAAACAUAUGUUUUCAAAAUAAUGAAUGUGUUAUGUUAUAUUUCUUUUGUGACAUUUUCUUGAAAUAUGAUGUUUUCUGUAAACCAUCAAUACUUGAGUUUUUUUUCUAAAUAUAAAUGAUUUCGACAAUAAUUGGCUUUUCUUAAAGCAAAUCAAAACAACGUUUUAAAAUGAUGAAGAUUAUUAAAGAGAAAAUAGUUAAAAGAUUUUCUACACCAACAACAUGGCUAAUGUGAUCUUAGAGAUUUGGCAAUAACGUCUAGCCCAGGUUUAAGGGGUUACAUUUAGUGACAUCAGAGUUCAGGUUCAAAACUCGAAUCGUGGUUUAUUUUAGAAAAUGUAUGCAUAUUUGUGGAAAUGGGUAUUUUGGGAAAAUACAUGCCAUAGUUAAAACUCACUUUCAAACUGAAGUUUUGUUUUGUUCUAAAAAUUUGAGGCAUCGAAGUUGGCCUAAGAUAAGUACUUUCGUCUUAAUGAAUUUUUAAAUUGUGAAACUUUAAUUUGUGAAAAUAUAGAUUACUAUAGAUUGUGAACUCUAAAUUCUGAAAACUAUAGAUUCUGAAACUAUAGUGACGGAACUUUUAAAAUUGAAAACAUUCUAAAAUAAUAAUGAAAGCUUGUUUCUAAUUAUUAGAUAAAACUUCAUAAAACUUAGAAAUCCGAUAAUAAAGAUGAGUACUCAAGGUGUUCGUACUUGGGGUAUAAGAGUUCGUGGAGAGCAGAGUCUGGGAACCCAAAUUGAUUCGUUUGCAUCACAAAUGCGCACACUUGAUUCAUACUUGGGGUAUGAGAGUUCGUGAAGACUAGGUUGAAAACAUGACUACUCUUGAGGAGAAUCAUAAGGAGUCUACUGACGAUGUUGUGUUGCAUGCCAUGCCUAGGGUUCUUUAUCGUGUAGCUGAAACCCAAGGUGGAUCUGAAAAUCGUGGUACUAUGGCAAAAAGGCUCUGAUCUAACAAAGUCAAAUUGUAUAGGGGCGUUGUUGUGAUGAACCCCAUCGCAGCAGAAUACUGGUUAGAGGUUACAGAAAGAAUUCAUAAUGAUAUGGAAUGCACCCCAGAUUAGAAAUUGAAGGGUACAGUAUCACUGCUGAUAGAUGAGGCUUACCACUGGUGGCAAGGCAAGAUGUUGUGAGGUGUACCCAAGUUGAGAGAUUGACCUGGAAUAUUUUCUAGAUGCUUUCCAAAACUAUUAAGUUGGUAAGCAUUACAUUGAGGCCCGCAAAUUAGAGUUCAUUGAGCUCAAACAAGGGCAUAGAUCUAUGGCCAAACAUGAGACUGAAUUUCUGCAAUUGAGUCACUACACUCAGGGGAUGGUUGCAAAUAAGCAAGAUAGCUGCAUCAAAUUUGAUAACCGAGUGAGAUAUGAAUUGAUGGUAUUGGUGGCCCUUCACUAAGAAAGAGUUUUCGAAACGUUAGUGGAGAAAAUCAAGAUAGUGGAGGAAGUGAAUCAUUUGAAACGUGAAAAGAGGGAAAAAUCUAGAGUUCCUACAAAGAGAGAUGUUGGUUCUACUAGUCCAAGCCUCACGACCUAAUAACUGAGCCAGAGAUGACCGACCUAGGCAGAAUGUUGCUACCGCUACUGAUGGUGGGAAAGCCCAAUACUGUGCUACUUAUGACAAGAGGCAUCUGAGUGAAUAGUGGAAGAGCUUGGGUGCAUGCCUUAGAUGUGAAUCCUUGAAUCAUAAAAUUAAGGAUUGUCCGCUCCAGAAUGAACAAAUGGAAGCACCGAACCAAAAUCGAGCUCAGAACCAAAGAGUUGGACAGCAACCUCAGAGAAGUCAAUGUUUGAAUAUGCGUGGUAAUGUUGGACAGAGGCAAAGAGCUUAGGGUUAGGGUGCUAAUCAAACUGAUGCUAGACAACCUGCAUUGGUCUAUACAGCUAGACGCAGAAAAGACUGUGAUGCAAUCGACGUCAUAGCAGGUACCUUUACUAUUAAUUUUGCAUCGUAUUUCACUUUGAUUGAUAUUGGUUCAACCCAUUCAUAUGUUUCAUGCUUAAUGGAUGAUAAAUCAAUAAUAGAAGUAGAGGAGACUGUUAGUAAUGUGAUUGUACUUAGUCCCUUAGGGCAACCUGUUUAUGUGCAUAAAAUCUAUAAAUGGUACCCGUUAGGGAUAAAAAGAGAGGUAUUUCUGACAGACUUGAUUGAAUUACCUUUCAGUGAAUUCGAACUUAUUUUGGAAAUAGAUUGGUUGGUUGAACACCAAGUUAUUUUAGACUGCAUUACAAAGAGGGUUACCUUGAAAUCUUCCAUUGGCAAAAAGAUAGUAAUGGUUGGAGAGAUUACUUAUCUAACAUAAUCUCCGCACUAGUGGGCAAAAAGUUGGUGUGCAAAAGAUGCAAAGCAUAUUUGGCUUAUACUUUGGAUACAAGUGUUAGUGAAUCAUCUAUUAAAAAUAUUCAUAUAGUGAGUGAUUAUCCCGAUGUCUUUUUAGAGGAGUUACCUAGAUUACCUAAAGAGCGUGAGGUUGAAUUUGUAAUUGAUUUAUUGCUGAGAACAACUCCGGUGUCCAUCUCCUCAUAUCGCAUGGCACCUAAAGAGUUAGUAGAACUUAAGGCAUAGUUACAGGAACUUCUGGAUCAUAGAUUCAUUAGACCGAGAGUGUCACCAUGGGGAACUUCUGUUUUAUUUGUAAAGAAUGAUGGAUUCAUGAAACUCUACAUUGAUUAUCAGCAACUAAAUAAGUUGACCAUAAAGAAUUGAUACCCUUUUCCAAGGAUUAAUGAUUUAUUCAAUUAGUUCAAGGGUGCAAAGGUGUUCUCUAAGAUCAACCUAAGGUCUGGAUACUAUCAUUUGAAAGUGAAAGAGACAAAUGUUCUUAAGAUCGCAUUCAAGACUCGGUAUAAUCACUACGAGUUCCUUGUGAUGCCUUUUAGUCUCAUGAACGUUCCGACAGCCUUUAUAGACCUAAUGAAUUAAGUUUUUCAACCAUACCUUGAUGAAUUUAUCGUAGUCUUUAUCGAAGACAUCUUGAUCUACUCUAAAUCUGAAACAGAAUAUGAUGAGCACUUGAAAGGCAUCCUAUAAAUUCUUCAAGAGAAACAACUAUAUGCAAAAUUGAGUAAGUGUGAGUUCUAGCUACACUAAGUAAUGUUUUUGGGACACGUAGUAUCAACUGAGGGUAUCUAUGUUGACUCAAAGAAAAUUGAGGCUAUCUUGGACUAGAGCAACCUAAGAAUGUCAGUGAAAUCUGAAGUUUCUUAGGACUAACUAGCUACUAUAGGAGGUUUGUGAAAGGUUUUUCCUUGAUUGUAGCUCCAAUGACCAAGCUGUUGAGGAAAAGUACACCUCUCAAGUGGACUAAAGAGCAGCAAGAGAGUUUUGAAAAGCUUGAGUCCGUGUUAAACUCAAGCACCUAUUCUGAUUCAGCCAGAGUUUGGGAAGAAUUGUGUGGUAUACAAUGAUUUCUCUUAUAUCUGUCUUGGUUGUCUUUUGAUGCAAGACAGUAAGGUUGUAGCCUACGCCUCGAGACAGCUUAAGCCUCAUGAGCGUAAUUAUGCAACCUAUGAUCUCAAACUUGUAACUGUUGUUUUUGCCUUUAAGAUUUAGAGGCACUAUAUUUAUGGUGAUAAAUGUAUUAUCUACACAAAUCACCAGAGCCUUAAGUACCUUCUCACUCAAAAAGAGUUAAACGUGAGGUAGAUGAGAUGGAUUUAUUUGUUCAAGGAUUAUGAUUGUACCAUUGAAUACCAUCUGGGAAAGAAGAAAUUUAUUGUUGAUGCAUUGAGUAUGAAGUCGAUAAUUGAUUUGAGAAUGAUGUUCGUGAAGUUGAGUUUGACUGGUAAUAGAGGUUUACUUGUAGAGUUGCAAGUGAAACUUACCCUAGUGGAUGAAAUUCGAUCGAAGCAAUCUAUUAAUGCAUCUCUCGUGCCUCGAUUUAGGUAGGUUGAGAAAGGUAAAACUAUUGACUUCGGCCUUAAUUCUGUUGAAGUUCUGUGCUUUUGUGGGGGAUAUUGCACACCCAAUGAUCGAGAGUUUAGGGAUUCUAUACUUUGAGAAGCGCAUAGUAGCCCUUACGCUAUGCGUUCUAGAGAAAAUGAGAUGUACUAAGACUUGAGAGAAUUGUAUUGGUGGUCAAGGCUAAAGCGUGAUGUAAUUGAGUAUGUGAGUAAGUGUCUGACCCACCAGCAAGUUAAGGCUAAGCAUCAGUUCCUCUUUAGUUUGUUACAGUCUAUUCAUAUUCCUCAGUGGAAGUAGGAAUGUGUGACCAUGGAUUUUAUUAGUGGGUUGUUUUUGACAUCUACUAAGAAGGAUUCAGUCUAGGUUAUAGUGGAUCGACUGACUAAGUCAGCACACUUUCUAUCUGUCCGUACUGAUUAUUCGUUACAUAAGUUGAGAAGGUUAUACAUUCAGGGAUUGUGAGACUUCAUGGUGUACCGUUGUCCGUCAUUUUUUAUCAGGAUCCUCGGUUUACAUAUUAAUUUUGGUAAAAUUUGUACGAGGCUUUGGGAACUUGAUUGAACUUUAGUACAACUUUUCAUCCACAAUCUGAUGGGCAAUGUAAGCGAGCUAUACUUAUUCUAGGAGACAUGUUAAAGGGUUGUGUUAUUGACUUCAAUGGUAGUUGGGAGUAACACUUGCCGAUAGCCGAGUUUGUGUAUAAUAAUAGUUUUCAAUUGAGCAUUUAGAUGUCUCCUUAUGAAGUACUAUUUGCUCACAAAUGUCCUACACCUAUGUGUUGGACUGAGUUGGGGAAAAUAAAUUAUUAGGUUUAGAUUUGGUGCAAGAAACCGAGAAAGUGGUGAAACUGAUUUAGGAUCGAUUGAGAGCAGAAUUUAAUCAACAAAAAUCUUACACUGACUUGAGGCGGAGGGAUAUUGAGUUCAGUGUUGAGGACCAAAUUUUCCUUAAGGUUCUACCGUGAAAGAAAGUAAUGAGGUUUGGAUGUAAGGGCAAGCUAAGCCCGAGAUUCAUUAGACCUUAUAGAGUCUUUAAGAGGAUUAGACCGGUGGCUUACUAGUUAGAGUUACCUCCAGAACUAGACCCUAUUCGUGACGUGUUUCAUGUUUCUAUGUUCAGAAGAUAUUGUUCUGACCCAUCUCACAUGAUUCCGAUCAAUGAGAUCAAGGUUAGAACUGAUUUUUCAUAUGAGGAAGAACCAAUUCAGAUUUUGAACUACGAGGUCAAGACAUUAAGGCAAAAUAAAAUCCUCUAGUAAAAGUCUUAUGGCAGAACCAUGGUGUUAAUGAAGUUACUUGGGAAUUUGAGGAAUCGAUGCGUCAUCUUUACCCUCACUUGUUGGGACGAGGUAAAUUUUGAGGACGAAUUUUAUUUUAAGAGGGGUAGAGUUGUCACGCCCCAUAUUUUCUUUAUUUUAUUGCAUUAGUUUAUGACACAAGAAAUUAAAUGGCCUAGUGGUUAAGUGAGUGAAUUAAUUCCAAAAUAUCCCAUGUUUAAGGCCACACACUCUCAAUUUUUUUUAUUUAAUUUUUGACAAUUCCAAGUGGGUCAAACCCCCUUAGCCGUCCAUCUCACUUACCUUGUGGGAAAUGAUUCCUUUCUUUUUCUGUCUAGUCAACUUAUGUUAAAUAGCCCCCUUUUCACUCCCAUAAUUCACUUUCGGUGCCUUUGACCCCAUAUUGCCUUUUUUCCUUCCUUACCAUACCUUGGCCAACCAUGCACCUAGAUACCCUUUUAUUUCUCAUCUUUUCUCUCAUUCACUCCUUUUAGCCACUCCUCCUCCUUGCUCCUCCAUUUUAUUCUAUUUUCUUUUGUUUCCCCACCCCUUCUUCUCAAUUCUCAUCCAUUCCACCAUCUCUAAAAGUCACUAAACCAACACCUUACCACCGCCACCGUCGACCACACCUAAAUUCUCUGAUUCUUCUUAUUUUCUCUUCCUCUUCUUAUAAUCUAUUUAUCUAAUCCAUAAAUUUUGAUAUUUUGUUCACAAAAAGAAGUAUAUCACAUCCAAUUUAUAAUUAUUUAUUUUAUAUUAUGUUAUUUUUAGUCUAGUUGCAAAUCCUCCUCCCUAAUCAACUCUCCCUGGGAAGUUGUUGAGCCCCUAUUCCUUCAAUAUUAUGUAAGUUCGGACGAUCACCCGUUUAUGAUAUUCUUUCAUUUAUUUAUAUAUAUUCGAUAAGGACAAUACUAACCAUUCAAUUUAUUGGAUAUUAUGAGAUGUUGUUAGAAAAUCCUUAAUUUGAACCCCCGCUUUUGGAAGUGUGUGAUUGUACAAUCGAUUACGUAAGUAUUUCACCAAAUCGUAAAUUAAGGGUUAUUCAUUAAAAUAACAGAUUCUAAUACGGUAUAAAUAUUUUAUACGUAAGAAUUUAAGAUAUAAUCUCUUCCUUUAGAAGUUGGAAAUAGAGACGCAUCGGAUUUGAGAAAUAGGUAUGGGGAUUUUCCUUAAUAAAAUAUAUGAUAUUGUUUUUAUUAGAGAUAAAUAUAUAUGAAAGGAUUAAAUAAUUGUUUAAUAAAAUUUUUGAAAAGAAAAAAUGGACGAAUACACUAAGUAUUCAUAUGGAUUGAUAAAAACCGAUAAAAAUGAAGAUUCCAAGUGAUUCCAAAACUUCAGGUUUGUGAUCUUUGUAUGUGAUUAUGUGAUUUUUUUGAUACACAUGAAAUUGUAUGUUUUUCUAAUACUAAUGGUGUGAUAUAUGGAAAUAUUGAUUAUGCAUGUAUUAUAAACAUGACAUUGAUUUAUUGAUAUUCUGAUUCACAUGUUGAGCAUGCUAUUAUUCUGACUAUGGUUCGUAUGUUAGGCAUGUCAUUAUUCUAAUUCUGAUUCACAUGUUAAACAUGUCACUAUGAUAAAACGUAAUAAGAUAUGAUUUACAUGUAAAGCAUUCCUACUGAAAUUUGGUUCUGUAUGUCAUAUCACAUGCAUAAGGUUGGGAUAAUAUUGUACGGAAGAAGAUUCUUGCAGUUUAGCAAUCUGCAAUUUCUGAUGGCUUGACCAUAAUAUUCUGUAUCUUGCAGUAUAUCUGUAUUAUUUGGUGGUUUGACCAUUAUAUUCUGUUUCUGGCAGUUCGACUACAAUAUCUAGUGGCUUGUCCAAAUUAUUGGUGUUAUUGGAUGGAUGAGCUUUGGGGAACUCAUUAUGAUGUGUAGCAGAAAUGAGUAGGAAUUAUUUUCUUAAAAAUCUACACUACUUCUGAAAAAGUGUUACAUAGACAUCGUCAUUAUGCAUUAUGAUAAAUGUGAUCAUGUGUCACCCUUUUAAGUUUUUUUGGCUUUUUAGAUGAUAAUUGAGGUUAGGACGGGCUCAACUUAUGGAGGUGUACUAAGAAAUUUUCAGAAAAACUAUUAUAUUUUGGUACUUGAUAUUUUGGGAUUUGUUUUUAUUUCUGUAGACUGUGGCUUGGGACUUUCCUUUGAAUUUUGGUUUUUGGAUUAUUUCGCAUGAUUUGAAUUUUUAAACUAUCACCUAAAAAGAAUUAUAAAAUUGAUAAGUAAAACUGGAAUUUUCAGAACAAUGCCAAACUCAACUAACGAUUGUAUUUUGAAACUCAAUACUUUGUUUUCAAAACUCAACACUACCUACUCAUUAAACUGAGAUUUUACAAGAUAUAUUAAACAUACGUUUUCAAAAUGACGAAUGUGUUAUGUUAUUUUUUUUGUUGCGACAUUUACUUGAAAUAUGGUGUUUUCUGUAAACCAUCAAUACUUUAGUUUUUUUCCAAAGAUAAACAAUUUCGACAAUACUUGGCUUUUCUUAAAGAAAAUAAAAAUGACGUAUUAAAAUAAUGACGAUUAUUAAAGAAAAAGUAGUUAAAAGAUUUUCUGUGCCAACAAUAUGGCCAAUGUGAUCUUUGAGAUUCGACCAUAACAUUUAGACCAGGUUUAAGGGGUUACGAAGUUGUUGAGGAAGAAUGUUCUGUUUAAAUGGACGAAUGAUCAACAAGCUAUAUUUGAAAAGCUAAAGGCUGUGUUGUAACACCCCCAACCCAUAUCCCUCGCCAAAACUGGGUUACGAAGCAUUACCGGAGAUUACAGAUCAAACAAACAGAAAUCUCAAACAUUUUAUAUCAUCAAAACAAGUCAUCAAAGCAUCAUUUUAAUCCAAAUUAUAAACUCUCCAAAAUAGAUUUUAUAACUUCAUUUACAAUCAAACCACAAAAUAACUAAUAUUUAGAAACUUUAGGUACAUGCCGAAACAAAGAAAUAAACAUCACCAUAUUUGAGUUCGGGAUCAUUGUUGGAUACUGAAUCAGCGAUCAAACUCAAGUACUUAAUCUGCGCACGAAAAAUAAAAUCAUACGCUGAGUAAAAACUCAGUGGUAUUUCUAUAAUCCGAAUAUUUAAAAAUAAAACAAUAAAAUAUGUAUAAUAAAAUGUUAAGCACAAUUGAACAUUUAAAAUCACACAAUACUCAAUUUUCAUCACUUGCUAUAUAUAAUACAUUUCCAUAAUUUAUUCACGUAUCAUUUAAACAAUGGCACUAUCCAUUCCACAAUCAAUUUAUGAGUAUAUAACUCGUGUAUUCCAUGUAUUUACAACAUAUUUCACAUUCUAUUUUCAGUUUACUAUCUCAUAUUCUUAUUCUUAGCCCAAAGUAGAUUUUAUAGAACACACUGGAUAUACGGAACAAAUACAGAGGUGCAUUGUUAUGCACUAAAUAAUAGAGAGCACUGAAGUGCUAUACAGAAAGCACAGAUGUGCUAAACAAUCAGAGAGCACCAACGUGCUAAUAAUUAGAUUAUCAUAUUUGGGCAUGCCACUAAUAUCCCAAUAGUUCUAAAUUCCAUCUACUUGGGCAUUAAGGCUGAGUUCCUUAAUGGCAUGCCACUAAUAUCCCAGUAGUUCUAAAUUCCAUCUACUUGGGCAUUAAGGCUGAGUUUUAUACAUAUAAAAAAUAAUUCAAUUAUCGUAUUUGUACAAUUUCACAUUUACACAUAUAUAUUCAUAAUAUAUAUAUUCCAAUUUAAUUCAACCAAUAUAAUUUCAUCACAUACCAAAACAAUCCAUUUCAAUUGUAAAACACAAUAAUUCUCACCUCAAUCACUUACCAUAACAUUUAAUCAAAAUACAACAAUUAAUAAUUAGAUUCGGAUUAUAGAAAUACAAACCAGGAAUUCCGAGCUAUUCCUCGUCGAUUAUAUUUUUCCCCUUUUUAGUCGAGAAUUCCGGUACGACGAUUGCUACAGAAUUAAAACAAUUAAAAAUCAUCAAUACAACACCAUUCAAUCUCAUAUUAAAUAUUUCAAUUUUUACUCAAUAUUUACCUAAAUUCCAAUUUAGUCCCUGAACCGAGACUAACUUUUAUUCUCAAAACUAAUUUCAUAUUUUCAUUCCAUUCCCACUUUAAAAUAAUUUAAUUCUCUAAUUUCACCAUAAAUCUAUAAUUUUGAAAUUCUCUCAAUUUAGUCCCUAUUAAUUCAAAACUUAUGUUUUAUUUUACAAAUCCACCCUUUUACUAACUUCUAACUUGAAAUUCAAUCAAUUUAACCCCUAAUUCAUCAAUUAAUUCAACAUGAACAACAUCUAAAAAUUUACUAACUUUGAACCUUGAAAAUUAACUAAGAGAAAAGGGAUUAAAUUGACUUACCAAAUUAACUUUGAACCUUGAAAUCCCAAAUUUCCCUUUUUCUUUUUCUUUCUCCCCUUUUUUUUUCUCUCUAUUUCUAUUCUCUUUUCCUAUCUUUUAUUUCAUUGUUCUUUUUAUUAUAUAAUAUUAUAUAAUAUAUAUACUUAACUUUUAAGUAAUAUUAUUAUAAUAAUAAUAUAUUUUAACUUUAGAUUUUUAAAAAAAAAAUCUACUUAUGCCUCAUCAACUUUAGAAAAAGGCAUAAUUGUCUAUUUGGUCCUUUUAACUUUUCUUUAAUCUUUAACUUAUGCUUCCUUCUAUUGCAAUUUAAUCCUUUUUAAUCAAUUAACCAUCGAAACAUUAAAAUUUCUUAACGAAACUUUAACACUACCCUAAUGACACUCCGUAAAUAUUUAUAAAAAUAUUUAUGGCUCAGUUUAUAAUAUCGAGGUCUCGAUACCUUAUUUUCGACCCAAUUUACCAAAUAAUUUCUUUUAAAUCACAAAAUUCACUAAUUCAAAAAUAUUUCUAAAAUCACGCUUAACUUAUAAUUAUUAAUUAAUAAUUUUUUCUAACUUUUUCAUGGAAUAUAGUGAUCUCAAAUCACUGUUCUAACACUACUGAAAAUUGGGUUGUUACAUGUGUUAACUUAAGCUCCCAUAUUAACUCAGCCUGAGUUGAGAAAAGAGUACGUGGUGUAUAGCGGUGCAUCCUACACUGGCCUUAGAUGUGUGUUGAUGUAAGGUGGAAAAGUAGUUGCCUAUGCAUCGAGGCAUUUGAAAUAGUACGAGUGCAACUAUUCGACUCAUGACUUGGAGUUGGUAGCAGUGGUAACCGCACUAAAAAUUUGGAGGCACUACUUGUAUGGUGAGAAGUGUUAUAUCUAUACUGAUUAUAAGAGUCUCAAGUGUCUUCUCAUCUAGAAAAAGUUGAACUUGAGGCAACGAAGGUGGAUAAAACUAUUAAAAGAUUAUAACUAUAUAAUUGAAUACCACCUCGGAAAAGCUAAUGUAGUGGCAAAUGCUCUAAGUAGAAAAUAGAUGAUCAGUCUAAGAGCAAUAUUUGCUAGGUUAAGUCUAAUGGAUGAUUGAGGCUUACUAGAUGAACUAUAAGUGAAAACUACCUUGGCUAAUGAGAUCAAGGAUAAACAACCAUUAGAUGUGUCCUUGUUGCAAUGGAUUAAGCAAGUGAAAGAUGGAAAAACUAAGGACUAUAGGUUUAACGAUGAAUGUCCUUUGUGCUUUUUUGGAAGGUAUUGUGUGUCAAAUGAUAAGGAUUUAAAACAGUCCAUACUUCGGGAAAUGCAUGCUAGCCCUUAUGCCAUGCAUCUUGGAGGAAAGAAAAUGUAUCAAAAUUUAAGGGAACUAUACUAGUGGCUUGGACCAAAACGUGAGGUGACAGAAGUUGUAGCUAAAUGUCUAACGUGACAGCAAGUGAAAGCUGAACACUAGUUCCCUUCCACCUUAUUACAACCGAUUAAAAUAUCUCAGUGGAAAUGGGAGCGUAUAACAAUAGACUUUGUUAGUGGGUUACCCUUAAUACCCACCAAGAAAGAUUCAAUUUGGGUAAUAGUAGUUCGAUUAACUAAGUCAACUCAUUUAUUAUUUAUUCAUAUGAAUUACUCUUUACAAAAGCUAACUAAGUUAUAUAUUUCAGAAAUUGUAAGGUUGCAUAGGGUACUCUAUCAAUUAUUUCAAAAUAAGAUCCUCGUUUCAUAUCUCGAUUUUGGAAGAACCUACAUGAGGCACUGGGUACUCGUUUGGAUUUUAGCCACUACUUUCCAUCCGCAAAUUGAUGGACAGUCCGAAUAGGUUAUUUAGAUAUUAGAAGAUAUGCUAAGGAAUUGCAUUAUCGAAUUCCGAGAUAGUUGAUAGAAACAUUUGCUUCUAGUUGAAUUUGCCUAUAAUAAUAUCUUUCAAUCAAGUAUACAAAUAGAACAUUAUGAAGCUUUGUAUGAUCAUAAGUUUCGAACACCAUAGUGUUCGACUAAACUGGGUGAAAGAAAAAUUUUGGGUCCCGAAAUGGUACAAUAGUCUAAGGGGAAAAUUAGAUUAAUCCAGGAUAGGUUGAAAGCGACUUCAGAUAAGUAGAAGUUGUAUGCGAACCUAAGGAGAAAGGAUAUUGAAUACAGUUUCAAAGACUAAAUCUUCUUGAAAGUGUCUCUAUGGCAGAAAGUGUUGAGAUUUGAAUGAAAAGGAAAGUAAGCCCUAGGUUUAUUGGACCUUAUAAAAUCCUUAAGAAAGUCGGUCUAGUGGCAUGCCAAUUAGAAUUACCUCCUAAAUUAGACCACAUUCAUGACUUUUUUCAUAUUUCCAUGUUGAGACGAUACCGAUCUGAUCAUUCCCAAAUUGUACCAAUUUAAGAGAUUAAGGUGAGACUAGAUUUGUCAUUUAAGGAAAAACCCGUAAAAAUUCUAGAUCAUGAAGUUAAGGUUAUAAGAAGGAAACAGAUCCCACUUGUUAAGGUUCUAUAGCAGUACCAUGGCAUUGAAGAGUCCACGAGGAAACCAGAAGACUCAAUCUGUCAACAAUAUCCUCAUUUGUUUGAAUUAGGUAAAUUUUUAGGACGAAAUUUCUUUAAAGAGGGGAGAGUUGUUACACCCCAAAAUAUAUAGGGUUAAUUGUAGUUUAUAGACAAUAAUUCAAUUAGGCUUGAUUAUUAAGACCUAAGCUUUCCCCAUUGUAAUCCUAGGUUCGAGCUACCUACCUCCCAUUACUUUUCUUUUUAUUUUCAGCAACUUAGGGUAAAAGUUACAUUUAAAAUAUAUAAGAUUAGGAAUAAAAACUAAACAAGAAAUAGGCUUUAGGCCUAAUGGUUAAAAUGCUAAGCUUCCCUUCCCAGUGACCCGAGUUUGAGCUACUCUUCUCUCUUCCAUUCCUUUUAUUUUCAACAACAAUGGAUAUAUUGCUAUGAUGCCCCUUACGAUUUUAAAACCCUAGGUGUUUAGUCCAUCAUUUCCCAAUUUGACUAGGCAUAUUACUUUGUUCUCAAUUCCUAUUAGGAAUUUUCCUUCUUUUCUCUAUUUCUUCUCCUUUUCUUUCCUUUCCUCUUCUUUGCAUCAUAUUUUUCAUAUUUUUGCUGUUGAAUAUUUUGUUUUCCUGAAUUAAAACAUCCACCAUUUAAUCAUUUUUCUACCAGUUUCAUAAUUGUCAUCAAUAGUAUCAAGAUUUUUUCCAAAAACGGUAAGUACAUUUCGUUUCGAAGUUUAGAUCUCAAAUUUUCGUAAUAUUUCUAUCUGACGCUAAUCUUACAUUCGAUUAAACCAUAUUUUAACAGUUCUUGCCAAAUAUUUUGUUAAUUUAACGAAUUUUAAAAUAAAUCAUUAAGUCAUGUAUAAAUGUCAUUGAAGAACCGAGAUUUAGGCGGAUCAAAUUAGAUUUGAUUAUGAGGAACGUCAAUCGGACUCUUGGUGAAAGGUGUGUGUUCUUUAAUAAGUGAAUCAAGGUAAACCGUGUGUAUGUUUAAGGCCUCAUGGUCUCCCACACGGGUGUGUGGACCACACAGUCAUGUACCACUGUUACGUUAGGGUACUUCAAUUUUCACACAACCAAGAACCUUCCACAUAGCUUGCCACAUGACCGUUUCUUUUUUAUAGGGUAAUUUUUAUGUUUGCCACACGGUCACAGCUUGUUAUACGGCCUAGCCACAUGAUCCUGUAACCCUUCUACAUAGCCUAUAGCUUCAUACGGCCGUGUGUCCCCUGUCUUACAGUAUUGCCCAAAAUUUUUUAAAUUAUUCAGUUUAGUCCCUGUAUAACCCUCAAAUUAUUUUUAGAGUUUUCACUCACUAUAUUGAGUCCCUGAUAUUAUCAACAUGCUAGAAUUUAUGAGUUGAUGAUUGAAUUGCUAUUAUAUAAUGAGGAUAUGUGAAUGUUACAUGUCUACUGUCACCGUUUCUUUGAUGAACUGAUACUGUUAUUCUUACAAAUGUAUUAUCGAUUGCAUGUUUAACAUGCUUACUGUUACUGUUGAAUCGAAUACAUGUUAAGCAUGUCUACUAUUUUUACAUAUACUGUUGCAAGCAUGUCAUAUCGCAUUGCAUAGGGUGGGACGAUUAUAUAGAGGAAGUACUGACAGUUUAAUAAUCUACAACACUAGUGGUUCAUCCACAAGUUACUAACAGUUUUUAUCUGUAAAUAUGUUUUGCAUCCACAACAAGUGGAAAUUUAUCUGUAAAUGUUUUUGUCUAAAAAUACUAGUGGUUUAACCACAAACUUGAAUGUAUUGGUUGGAAGAGUUCUGGGAGACUCUUACUGUGGAGUGAAAUGGAGUAUGGGUAGGAUCUUUCCUGUUAUUCUUGUAUCACAUGACAAUCACCUACAUGUUCAAUAUAAUUGUAGACUUAUGCUUUGCUAUACGAUUGUGUUUGUUCUGAAAAUGGAUUGUAAUAUGUAUGGUUACUAUUUUGCACUUGAUUACUUGUGAUAAGACUCACACUAAGCUUCUUAAGCUCACUCCCCUUUAAUUUCCAUCUUUACAGAUAACCCACUAGGUUAGGGCACAGACUUGGCAUCCGGAGGGUCUUGAUUUGAAAUCAUUUUUUAUAAAGUAUUUUUAAUGGAAAUUUCUGUUAUUCAAAAACUGUAUUGUUUUAUUUUUGAACUGUGAUAUGAGACUUAUGUUUUGGGUUUAUAUAGCGUGCAUUGCAUUUAAUUUGAAUUUAGGAUAUUGAAACAUAGAUUUAGAAUUAAUUAUGCAUAAAAUAAUUCUGAUUUUUCUUAAUUGAAACUAAGUUGAAUAUCAGUUUUCUGCUACUAGAUUUUAAGUAAAUUAUGAGUAGUAAAUAAAUUGGAAAUUAACUAAGUUUUCAAAAGUAGUCACCGUUAUAAGGAAAAUGUUAAAUUUAAUCUGUUUUUGUUAACUCAUGAUUUCUUUUUGGAGAUAGGCUAAGUUUUCUUCUCAGAUAAAUAAAAGUUUUAAAAUGAUUGUUUUAUAAACGCUGUUAGCUUAUUGGGCCAUUUCAGUGGCCAAUAUACUAUUCUGAAUUCGGGCCUAACGUCUAGGCUGAGUUGGGGAGAUUACAUCUAAUCCAGGAACUAAUCCCACCAAACGAUUGGUUUGGAGAUUCCAUAGCUUGGGUUACGCCAGCAAGACAACAAAACUUCCUAAGAUACACAGGUAGUUAUAUUUCAUUCCCAGAAAUAUAAUACUUUGUUACUUAUUGUGUAAAGUCUCACUAAGUUCAUCUGAACUUACUAUUGUACUGCCUUUGAUGUAGGAUCAAAAUUAUCGAAGUCGUAGUGGAAAAGACCAAGCCAGACCCCGCCAACAUUGCGCUAAGGUUGCGACAGUUAUAACAUGCGUAUAAAGGGACACCCUUAGAGGCCACACCUCAUGGAUCAUGUCGGUUAUGUCUGUAUCAAAGUCUACAUUAAAAUUUUUAUAAAUAACUAUCAAGUUUAUUACAGUAUCAAUUUUGUACAAAUUUAUUUCGUAAAUGUCAUGAGUAGAAAUUAAAAUUUUAAAUCUGAUAAUGUCUAAGUACAUAAUUAAAUUAGUUUAAAAAUUUGUUAAGUUAUGCAAGUUGAUUAUGACAUUCAGUACUCGGACUUGAUGAUCGGGUUGGGCAUAAAGUGUUACAGUAAAAGUGGUGCCUCCCUCGAUUCUGUCAUUGAGAACCAUCGAUUCAUCUCUGCCUCGUUCACCUAAUUUCCAUCUCUGUUUUGGUACUUUUUGCUCUGUGUCGAAACUCUCGUUCCUAGUCUGCCUCAAAUCUACCACACCGCUAAAGUUUUUAGUUCGCUGUCAAAAUAUGUCUUCAAUGUCAAAGAUCUAGGGACGUAUAUGAUACGUCUCCAUUUCCUUCGAUUCAGUUCAUCAAGAUUGGAUCUGGGUAACUCUCGAUUUCACGUUUUGGUUAAUAGGUUAGUAGCUUUAACCAAUUUUAGCGAUGGGGAUAUAGUAAUCCUAAAAUUAUAUAAUAUUUUCUUUGGUUUAACUCAGAGAAGCUUGAAAUUCAUUUCGUUUUGGUUGUCGGUGUUGUCAAUUUUAAAGAUCGUCUCUUUCACCUUCUUUCUUCUUCUUUGCUUCUCUGUUCUCUUUAUUUUUUGAAUCCUUUCGGCUACUGGUGUUGUCAAUUUGAUGGAUUUGGCAUUUGGGUUUGACUUCGAGUAAUGGGGGCUUUUGAAUCGUUAGGUUGCUGUGGUGAGAAUGAUGAAACAGAGUAGAUGGUUGUGGUGGUUUUAGGGUGAUGGUUGAGUAAUAAUGGUACGAUGAAAUAUCAAAGGAAGUGGUAAAGCUUGGGAGCAAGCUAUGAUGGGGUAAAUGGAGUAAUAAUAUGCAUUUAUAUAAUAUUUUUAUCAAAACAUUUAUAUAAUUAAUAUUAAAAAAUAUUAUUUAAUUAUAUUUUUCAUUAUUAGUAAUUAUUUAAUUUAAUACAAAAUAUAAUUUAAUUUAAAUAUUUUUACAAUAUAUUAUUAAUAUACUUAAAAUAUUUUUUAUUUCUAAGGGUAAAAAUAUCAUUUGUGAUCAUUCCAUAUCUAUUCUGUUCAACUAAACGUAUGAAUACCAUUACAAUACUCAUUUUAUUUAAUCUAACCAAAUCACUGUUAUGCCUAUUUAAUUUUAUUAUAGUCAUAUUUCAUUCUCACAGAAUGACUACGUUAAGAUAUAAAUUUUAUGAUUACUUUAGUCAAUGAAGAAAUAGUUUAAAGGAUACAUAUAUUUUAAGCGUGUGAUAUUGAAGCCACAUGAUAGGCGGAAUCCAAGUAGUGAUCGUAUACGACAGGGAAUCCCAAUUUUAGUCAUAACAUGGAAUCUCUUUCUUGACUUUAUAAUUUGUCGUUGUUUAUUAAAGAAAUCAAAAUACCAUUUGUCAUUCUCACAAUGAAUCCAUUUCCAUUACGCCUUUGACAUUCAUUCCUCACCAUUUACAUUAUAAUCUCUUUUUAUCUUUUUCUUAUACCCAACACUUCAUAUUAAUCCUAUCUUUUUUCCCAAUUAAUAUAUUUAUAUGUCGAUUUUAAAUGUUUAUAAUGUUAAAUUUAAUCCUAAUCCUUAUAUAUUUUAAUUUAAAUUAUUCUUUUUAAUGCAAAAAUUAAUUGAACUAUUAAAAUUUUAAUGAUAAUAACGUGAUAACCCAUGUGGGAUCUAUAUGUAUUUUAUUGCUACUAUGAAUAGUUUUAAAAAGCAU
rnacentral:lncRNA from 1 species